AGUGGAAUAGCUGGGUCAAAUGGUGGGUCCAUUCCUAGUUUUUUGAGGAAUCUCCAUACUGCUUUCUGGAAAGAUUGCACCAAUUUGCAGUCUCACCAGCAAU
rnacentral:pre_miRNA from 1 species